AUUACUUCAUCAAAUGGAUAGAGGCUACUGCAUGCGUCAAUGUCAUCAUAUGCCGAUGGUAUUGGAAAAAGCAUUGAACUUGAGUGAUAACAUGAUAGCUGAGAACUAUAAUCAAUUCAAAAUCAGACACCACGGUUUGUCACUGUAUUGCAAGACAAUGAAUUGCAAAAAAUGACCGAGACUUAUAAGGACUGGCAUGAGAAAUCACCAUUUGCCCUCAUUGCUUGCCG
rnacentral:lncRNA from 1 species